GAGGGUACAGCUCAGUGGUAGAACACAUGCUUAGCAUGCAGGAGGUCCUGGGUUCAAUCCCCAAUAUCUCCU
rnacentral:tRNA from 1 species